ncrna:Panagrellus redivivus microRNA prd-mir-7961 precursor (prd-mir-7961-1)
AAACUAACUUCGAUGGGUUUGUUGUACGUAAAUCAGUCCCACCGUUGUGAGUUUGU